AGGUAUGGAAGGAAGUUUGCCCAUUUUACUGAAGAAGGACAGGCAACCCUUCGAGACAAUCCGGUAUUCAGGAUCACACGAAAAAGAAAACAUGAAAGCAGCACCAUGGACACAGACCCCGCCACCGACCACAUGUAUAGCAAGAGGCCUUACAGCUUUCCACCCAGAGAGCAGGUUAAUGACAAUAAUGACAGCAUGCAC